rnacentral:rRNA from 1 species
AUUGAACGCUGGCGGCAGGCCUAACACAUGCAAGUCGAACGAGUGGCGGACGGGUGAGUAAUGCCUGGGAAACUGGCUGAUGGAGGGGGAUAACGACUGGAAACGGUCGCUAAUACCGCAUACCAUCGGAUGAGCCCAGGUGGGAUUAGGUAGUUGGUGGGGUAACGGCCCACCAAGGCGACGAUCCCUAGCUGGUCUGAGAGGAUGACCAGCCACACGGGGACUGAGACACGGUCCAGACUCCUACGGGAGGCAGCAGUGGGUAAUAUUGCGCAAUGGGCGCAAGCCUGACGCAGCCAUGCCGCGUGAAUGAAGAAGGCCUUCGGGUUGUAAAGUUCUUUCAGCGAGGAGGCGUUAAUCGCAGAAGAAGCACCGGCUAACUCCGUGCCAGCAGCCGCGGUAAUAC